rnacentral:rRNA from 1 species
ACACUUUACAAUGCGGGAAACCCGCGAUAAGGGAACCCCGAGUGCCAGCAUCAAAUGUUGGCUGUCCAGAUGAUUAAAAAUCAUUUGUUAGCAAGGGCCGGGCAAGACCGGUGCCAGCCGCCGCGGUAACACCGGCGGCCCGAGUGGUAGCCGUUUUUAUUGGGUCUAAAGGGUCCGUAGCCGGCCUGAUAAGUCCUUUGGGAAAUCUGGCAGCUUAACUGUCAGGCUUCUAAGGGAUACUGUCAGGCUUGGGACCGGAAGAGGUAAGGGGUACUCCAGGGGUAGGAGUGAAAUCUUGUAAUCCCUGGGGGACCAUCUGUGGCGAAGGCGCCUUACCAGAACGGGUCCGACGGUGAGGGACGAAAGCUAGGGGAGCAAACCGGAUUAGAUACCCGGGUAGUCCUAGCUGUAAACGAUGCUCGCUAGGUGUCAGACACGGUGCGACCGUGUUUGGUGCCGCAGGGAAGCCAUAAGCGAGCCACCUGGAAGUACGUCGCAAGGC